rnacentral:rRNA from 1 species
GACGAACGCUGGCGGCGUGCCUAAUACAUGCAAGUUGAGCGCUGAAGGUUGGUACUUGUACCAACUGGAUGAGCAGCGAACGGGUGAGUAACGCGUGGGGAAUCUGCCUUUGAGCGGGGGACAACAUUUGGAAACGAAUGCUAAUACCGCAUAAAAACUUUAAACACAAGUUUUAAGUUUGAAAGAUGCAAUUGCAUCACUCAAAGAUGAUCCCGCGUUGUAUUAGCUAGUUGGUGAGGUAAAGGCUCACCAAGGCGAUGAUACAUAGCCGACCUGAGAGGGUGAUCGGCCACAUUGGGACUGAGACACGGCCCAAACUCCUACGGGAGGCAGCAGUAGGGAAUCUUCGGCAAUGGACGAAAGUCUGACCGAGCAACGCCGCGUGAGUGAAGAAGGGUUUCGGAUCGUAAAACUCGGUUGGUAGAGAAGACCGUUGGUGAGAGUGGAAAGCUCAUCAAGUGACGGUAACUACCCAGAAAGGGACGGCUAACUACGUG